UUUAGAUAGCAAACCAGAAAUGAGAAGGGAGAUAAAGAACCGGGUAAUAAAGAACAGGAAAAAAGCCUGACAAAGAUUGCCAAGUCUAAAGCAAGAAGAAAUAGCUACAAAAAGAAAGGGAUGCCGCUUCGCAUAUCACAGAUUACCAUCUCAAAAAUCAUCUUCUAAAUAUAAAUAAUAAUAAAUACUUUGGCAUUGGACGAGAAGGAAGGAAAACAAUCAGACUGUGACAGUCCUGUUUCAUAAAGCAGCAUGGCAUGAAGGCAUGGGAGGGCUACCUGUUAUUGGGAACAGCCAGGUUGAUGAAUGAUGUUCUUAAUGGAGACUCUUAUCCAUGACUCUUAUGUCAGCGAGCUGGAUGGCUAGAAAUGCUGCUUUCCUCUGCUGCAUUGUGCUACAAUGCAUAUAAUCUUGUGAUGACUUUACUGCCCUAUUGUGCAGAACAGCCACACUGAAAGAACAACAAGAC